AUUGAACGCUGGCGGCAGGCUUAACACAUGCAAGUCGAGCGAGUGGCGGACGGGUGAGUAAUGUCUGGGAAACUGCCUGAUGGAGGGGGAUAACUAAUGGAAACGGUAGCUAAUACCGCAUACCAUCAGAUGUGCCCAGAGGGGAUUGGCUAGUAGGUGGGGUAAUGGCUCACCUAGGCGACGAUCCCUAGCUGGUCUGAGAGGAUGACCAGCCACACUGGAACGGAGACACGGCCCAGACUCCUACGGGAGGCAGCAGUGGGGAAUAUGGCACAAUGGGCGCAAGCCUGAUGCAGCCAUGCCGCGUGUAUGAAGAAGGCCUUCGGGUUGUAAAGCACUGUCAGUCGGGAGGCGUUACCCACAGAAGAAGCACCGGCUAACUCCGUGCCAGCAGCCGCGGUAAUAC
rnacentral:rRNA from 1 species